rnacentral:rRNA from 1 species
UACGUAGGGUGCGAGCGUUGUCCGGAAUUAUUGGGCGUAAAGGGCUCGUAGGCGGUUUGUCGCGUCGGGGAGUGAAAACUCAGGGCUUAACCCUGAGCCUGCUUCCGAUACGGGCAGACUAGAGGUAUGCAGGGGAGAACGGAAUUCCCGGUGUAGCGGUGAAAUGCGCAGAUAUCGGGAGGAACACCGGUGGCGAAGGCGGCUCUCUGGGCCUUACCUGACGCUGAGGAGCGAAAGCGUGGGAGCGAACAGG